UUCGUCCUGGUUGGUACGACGUGUUAAUUUGACAGUUGAUUCACUAAUAUACGUCAUGUGACAUUGGCUUAAAAAGUAGACAGGGUACAGAUCUCCGCUAGAUUAAUGAUUCCUCCACCCUACCGGACACACUUACCUACACGAGAAUAUUUACAGAGAGUGUUGACAUUUUCUUGGGAGCACUCCUAUACCGACACUAUGUCACGACAACUUAAUCUGUGGAUUUGGUGUUUUGUUCUCAUCUGCAUACUUGUUUUGUUUUGCGUUUCGACAGUUGACGGUUCUUGUAUCAACAAUGCUGCCACAACGACGUCAACCACUACAACUACGACAACCACCACUCCAAGGCCUCCGAGUCCUUGACAUCACUUCCGAUUAAGACAGAAACAGAAUAAAAACUGUCGCAAAAGAAUAAAGCUGCUGCUUCCGGUAAUGGAUAUGCCAGCGCUGCUGUCAGGCGCCAAUAAUGCAGAGACUCUAGCAUAAUAUUCCUCAAUAUUUUAUUUCUAUAUGACUUUGUUUAUUAAAGUCCUGUUUGUUGUUUA